rnacentral:rRNA from 1 species
AUUGAACGCUGGCGGCAGGCCUAACACAUGCAAGUCGAACGAGUGGCGGACGGGUGAGUAAUGUCUGGGAAACUGCCUGAUGGAGGGGGAUAACUACUGGAAACGGUAGCUAAUACCGCAUACCAUCGGAUGUGCCCAGAUGGGAUUAGCUAGUAGGGGGGGUAAUGGCUCACCUGGGCGACGAGCCCUAGAUGGUCUGAGAGGAUGACCAGCCACCCUGAAACUGAGACACGUCCCAGCUUCCUACGGUAGGCAGCGGUGGGGAAUAUUGCACAAUGGGCGCAAUCCUGAUGCAGCCAUGCCGCGUGUAUGAAGAAGGCCUUCGGUUUGUAAAGUACUUUCAGCGGGGAGGCGUUACCCGCAGAAGAAGCACCGGCUAACUCCGUGCCAGCAGCCGCGGUAAUUC